AUUGAACGCUGGCGGCAGGCCUAACACAUGCAAGUCGAGCGGAUGAAGGGAGCUUGCUCCUGGAUUCAGCGGCGGACGGGUGAGUAAUGCCUAGGAAUCUGCCUGGUAGUGGGGGAUAACGUCCGGAAACGGGCGCUAAUACCGCAUACGUCCUGAGGGAGAAAGUGGGGGAUCUUCGGACCUCACGCUAUCAGAUGAGCCUAGGUCGGAUUAGCUAGUUGGUGGGGUAAAGGCCUACCAAGGCGACGAUCCGUAACUGGUCUGAGAGGAUGAUCAGUCACACUGGAACUGAGACACGGUCCAGGCUCCUACGGGAGGCAGCAGUGGGGAAUAUUGGACAAUGGGCGAAAGCCUGAUCCAGCCAUGCCGCGUGUGUGAAGAAGGUCUUCGGAUUGUAAAGCACUUUAAGUUGGGAGGAAGGGCAGUAAGUUAAUACCUUGCUGGUUUGACGUUACCAACAGAAUAAGCACCGGCUAACUUCGUG
rnacentral:rRNA from 1 species